rnacentral:rRNA from 1 species
UCGAGAAUCAUUCGCAAUGGGCGAAAGCCUGACGGUGCGACGCCGCGUGGAGGAUGAAGGCCCUAGGGUCGUAAACUCCUGUCAUCAGGGAGUAAUGGCUCAUAUAGUAACUGAUAUGGGUCUUGAUAGUACCUGAAGAGGAAGGGACGGCAAACUUCGUGCCAGCAGCCGCGGUAAUACGAAGGUCCCAAGCGUUGUUCGGAUUUACUGGGCGUAAAGAGUCUGUAGGCGGUGGGGUAAGUCAGAUGUGAAAUCCCGGGGCUCAACCCCGGAACUGCAUCCGAUACUGCCUUACUUGAGGGUCGGAGGGGAGUCUGGAAUUCUCGGUGUAGCAGUGAAAUGCGUAGAUAUCGAGAGGAACACUAGUGGCGAAGGCGAGACUCUGGACGACAACUGACGCUGAGAGACGAAGGCCAGGGGAGCGAAAAGGAUUAGAUACCCCUGUAGUCCCUGAGCGGGCUGGCAAGGCGCAU